rnacentral:misc_RNA from 1 species
GAUGAAGAACGCAGUGAAAUGCGAUACGUAAUGUGAAUUGCAGAAUUCAGUGAAUCAUCGAGUCUUUGAACGCACAUUGCGCCCCCUGGUAUUCCGGGGGGCAUGCCUGUCCGAGCGUCAUUGCUGCCCUCAAGCACGGCUUGUGUGUUGGGCCUCCGUCCUCCUCCCGGGGACGGGCCCGAAAGGCAGCGGCGGCACCGCGUCCGGUCCUCGAGCGUAUGGGGCUUCGUCACCCGCUCUUGUAGGCCCGGCCGGCGCUUGCCGACGCAUCAAUCUUUUUUCCAGGUUGACCUCGGAUCAGGUAGGGAUACCCGCUGAACUUAAGCAUAUCAAUAAGCGGAGGA